rnacentral:lncRNA from 10 species
CCAGCCUCAGGUCGUGAUUCUGAUUCCCUCACAGGGCUCCUGUCCUCGCUUGGUCUUUCCAACUGGAUUGAAUCCUGGAUGCUGACUCCUCUCUGUCUUUAUCCUGUUGUCACCUCACCGAGUCAGCUGGGAGCUUGCUCUUUCCUUCUAGCAACAGAAGACUGUGGUGAAAACACUUGUUGCAGCUGAGCGUUCUGCUUGAAUCUUUUUUUUUUUUUUGAGACAGGGUCUUGUUCCAUCACCCAGGCUGGAGUGCACUGGCACAAUCACAGCUCAAACUGCAAUCUCGACCUCCUGGUCCAGAAAGAUCCUCCCACCUCAGCCUCCUGAGUAGCUGGAAUGUAGGCAUGCACCACAAUAUCCGGCUAAUUUUUGUGUUUUUUAGAGACAGGGUCUCACUGUAUUGCCCAGGCUGGUCUCAAACUCCUGGGGUCUAGCAAUCUGCCCACCUCAGCCUCUCAAAGUGUUGGGAUUACAGGCGUGAGCCACUGCACCCGGCACCUGCUUGAAUUUUGAAAAUGGCUUGACCUGGAGGGGAUGCCACUCCUCUGGGAAGCAGAGUGGCACAUGGGGGUUGUGGAGGCUUUGCUAGUGCUGGACCUUCAACAGAAGGUUGAAUCUGAGCAUGUGUUGAAGCUGCUGUUAGGAGAACAGCUGCAGUUAACAAGACCCAACCUGGGAAACACACUAUUCAGGAGUGAUAAAGAAUCCGAGGCGCAGAGAGGUGGCACUGCUGGAAGGAACAGAGCCAGAUCCACAAGAUCCUUCAUUCCGACAAUAAAUAUUCACUGAAGAUCUGCCACAUGUCAGGCCCCAGCCCAGAUCAGGAAAUUGAGGUCCAGUGAGGUGUCUUGGCCAGGACACUCAGUCAGGACGUGACAUGAACACAGGACUGUCUGACUUCAAAUCCAGUGCUCCUUCCCCUGCAGUCCCCACCCCACUGACUGGGGGACAGUGCUCCAGGCAGCUGGAAUGGGACACGGUUUGUGUGGCAGCGAGAUAUCCAGGCUCUCCUCCUUCCAGAUCUAAGGAUUCAAACCCAGGUCUGCUUGACUAGGAAGGCCGGCCCUCUCCAUGGUGCCAGGACAACUCUUUGGAGAAGAUGCCCCUCUCUCUGCCUGCCUGAAUCUUCUCCGUCCACAAAGGCCUGCUCCAUCCUCCCUCCUCCAGGAAGCUUUCCCUGACUGUCCCCGGGCCCAGCCAGGGUGUCUGGGGGGCUGGAGAGACCCACAGAGCCCUGAUCACCGUGGCUGGCCCGUAAGUGUGGCGACUGAGUCCCAGUCUGGAGGCACAGCUGGACUUUCCCAGAGAGAACUGAGGCAUUGUGGGAAUUUCCCAGCUGUGACCCCAGGACCCUGAUUGCCCAGAAUGGCUCCAAGUUCACAUAUCUAGGGACCGUCACCAAGACUCCUGUAUCUAUAUUAAACUCGGUAAAUGUGAUGACCCUGGAAAUGUGCCCUCAGCAUCACAACCGCACUCUUGGCCCCUCCAGAAUUCAGAGCCACUUUGGGAGUCCACCCUGAAGCCCAGUUCAGGCUUCCCCUUAAUGUGGGGAAAUUGGGUUUAAGUGAAAUUGUCAUCUGCUGGUUGGGGAGGAGGGACACUCAGGCCUCUGCUAUUUCCUCUGGGCUCUCCCCAGCAGUCCUCACUAGGGUACCGAGAAACAGGGGCUUCGCUCAUCCUCCAGAGGCAGGGUAGCCUAGUGGUAAAUGCACGGGCUUUGCAGGCAGACAGUGAGACUGAGUCCCUUCCACCUCUGUGUGGUCCCUGAGGAGGAACUUCACAUCCCUGAGCUGAUCCUCAGUUUUCACAUCUGUAAAAUGGGGGGUUUCCUCAGGUUGGAGGCUUGAGGUGAGAAUGUGAUGAGACAGUGAAAGUGUGUGAAGCACCCGG